rnacentral:lncRNA from 1 species
AAAGAGGAGGAACCUUUUCUGGUCUGAUUGCUGUUGAAAGGAAACAGCUUUCUUUUAAUUUGACUGAGGAUCAGGUAGGCCUGAGCCUGUUUGCAUGGGUGCUCAGAUUCAGUGUGAAGCCUUAGUGAGUGUCUUUCUCUUUCUGAUGGGUAAGUUCGAGGCAGACACUUCACUCCUGGCUUCUAUCCUAACCUCCAGCUCAAAACCCUUUGCAUCUUACCCUCUGUAAUGGAUAGGCCAGCCAGGGAUUCUGACUUCUGUACAUUCUGCCACUUUGAUCAGCUAAACUUUAAAGGGUGAUUUCUUCAAAAGAUGUUGAAAGCUGCCUUAAGUUGAGUGACUUCAUAGCAAAGACUAAGCUGCUAUUUCUUACCAAAUUUCCUCUUCAAGGAGCAUAUGCAACUCUUCAAAACUUUUCCUUAUUCAAAUUGUCACACCAAACCAGAAGAUCACCCCAUUACAAAAACAGAGCCCAUCGCAAUUACCAUCUCCUUUAUAAAAUGAAAAAUUAUGCUCAGACUAUUUCUCCA